UGGAGGUGCACACCUGUGGUCCCAGCACCUCAGGAGGCUGAGGCGGGAGGAUCACUUGAGCUUGGGAGAUCAAGGCUGCGGUCAACUGAGAUGCACUCCAACCUAGCUAGCAGAGCAAGACCCUGUCUCAAAAAAGGAACCAAGAGAGUGGCCUAUUCUCCAAGUGUGAUUGACUGCCCAUUUUUCCUUGGAUCCUAGCCAGGCUUAGGCAGAACUCAUCAUCACUUCUUUUUGCCUUUCUUUUUCUUUCAUGUCACUUUUUCCAGGUUCUGAGCUGGGUUUUCUCCUCAAGCUUUGCAGGAAGUGAGUCCAAGAGACUAUAACUCAGAGAUUCUUUGAAGGGGAAAGAUAUCCUUGCAGGAGCUCUGACUGUCUGCCCAGCCAGCUGUCCUACCCACCAGUAGAGCAGCUGGGGUUGAGGAGGGCUGCUUGGUGCUCUCUCCACCUAUGUGCUUCUCCUUACCCAGGUCCUGAGCCAGCCUUCGUGAUGAAUAUGUGUUAUUUGAUGUCAGCUGAUUAACUAGGGUUUCCUCAUACUCCCUGCAAAGCAACAUCUGGAACAUUUUGACCUCAUCCUCUUAAAGGCCAUAAAAGUUGAUAGAUUUUUCUUGAAUAUAUUUUACUUAACAAAAUACCUGAGCUGCAAGGGAGCCAGGCAGAACCCACUUCCUUGGGAGGAAAGAGGUUGAUUUCUAUCCUGUUAUUAGAAUGAGAAACAGAGGUAAAGAAAGGGGAAAACUUGCCUAAAUUCACAGGUUGAAGUUCCAGAUCCUGGUCUCAGCUCAGCCUACCUCGGUGCCCAGAGGGGAAUAGGAAGGCAAACACCGGAGGCUCUGGACCCGCCUCCUCUAGGCCAUGGAUUAAUGCUGCUGGGCAAGGGCCCCUUCCCCACUACAGUGGGAUAAGAGGCUGCCCUCACAGUCACAAUGCUCCCGGGUCACAGAGGUGCUGGGCCCCAGGCCAGCCUCUGCCUGGGAAGUUCUCUCUGGGAACAUCUGGUGGGUACUACAGGCCCUAUGGCCUGUGGAACCUCACUACGGGGGGGAGGGCUGGGCCAGACGGAGUCAUCACCUGUGGUGUCGGCCCCAUGGAUGAGAUGGAGUGGAUACACAGACAUCCCAAGGCUGAGGACCUAAGGGUUGGGCUCAUCAGCUGGGCAGGAACUUACCUCACCUUUGAGGCAUGCAAGAAUACAGUCACUGCAACUGCGAAGAGUUUGGGCAGGAGACAGACCUGGGAGAUCCUGGUGAGCAAUGAGCAUGAGACACAGGCCGUGGUACGACUAAAGAGUGUGCAGGGCCUCUACCUGCUGUGUGAGUGUGAUGGCACUAUGUGUUAUGGCCGCCCAAGGACCAGCCACCAUGGGUGCUUUCUAUUGCAUUUCCACCGGAACAGCAAGUGGACCCUCCAGUGCCUAAUUUCUGGUCGUUAUCUGGAGUCCAAUGGCAAGGACGUGUUUUGCACUUCCCGGGUCCUCUCAGCUUACCACAUGUGGACCCCCCGACCAGCCCUCCAUGUCCACGUGAUCCUCUACAGCCCCAUCCACCACUGCUAUGCCCGGGCUGACCCCACUAUGGGCCGCAUCUGGGUGGAUGCAGCAGUUCCCUGCCUGGAGGAGUGUGGCUUCCUGUUGCAUUUUCGAGAUGGAUGCUACCACCUGGAGACCUCUACACACCACUUUUUGUCCCAUGUAGACCGGCUGUUCUCCCAACCCUCAUCACAGACAGCUUUUCACAUGCAAGUGCGGCCUGGAGGGCUUGUGUCACUGUGUGAUGGAGAAGGAGGCAUGUUAUAUCCACAGGGCACGCAUCUGCUCUUGGGCCUGGGCUGCAACCCCGUGAGGGGUGAGGAGUGGUUCAUCCUACAGCACUGCCCAACCUGGGUGAGACUCAGGUCAAAGAAUCGGCGGUUCAUUUCAGUCAUCUACGAUGAUGAGGUGUGUGCUGCUUCUGAGCGCUUAACCCCAAUGUCCUUGUUCCAGUUUGAAUGUGACAGUGAGAGCCCCACUGUGCAGCUUCGUUCAGCCAAUGGCUACUACCUAGCCCAGAGGCGCCACAGGGCGGUGAUGGCUGAUGGGCACCCCCUGGAGUCUGACACGUUCUUCCGAAUGCACUGGAACUGUGGCAGGAUCAUCCUGCAGUCCUGCAGGGGGCGCUUCCUGGGCAUUGCACCCAACGGCCUGCUGAUGGCCAAUGCUACCCUUCCAGGCCCAAAUGAGGAAUUUGGGAUUUUAUUUGCCAAUCGCCCCUUCCUUGUAUUGCGAGGUCGUUAUGGCUAUGUGGGCUCCUCAUCAGGCCAUGACCUCAUACAGUGCAACCAGGAUCAGCCCGACUGCAUUCACCUACUACCCUGCCGACAGGGUAUCUACCACUUCCAGGGGGGGAUCCUUCUGGUCAAUAACAUCCUUUGGCACCUUUCGCCCUUGGGGCAAGUUUGCCCUCAACUUCUGUAUCGAGCUUCAGGGGAGCAACUUACUCACUGUAUUGGCCCCCAAUGGCUUCUACAUGCGAGCUGACCAAAGCGGCACCCUGUUGGCAGACAGCGAAGACAUUACCAAAGAGUGUAUCUGGGAAUUUUAGGUCAAUGGGAUGUCACCUACCAAAAUCCAAAUCCUCCAAGAAAAACUACUACACUAAAUGGAACAGGAACCCCAGAGUCAAGAUCCAAGAGAAGAAUAUCUGUUACAACUCUUCCUACCCAGUUUAGCAAAACACCUGUUUUAUGCAACAAUACAUCACAACAGGCCACCCCCAAGAUCCUUGUGUGCAUCUGACUCAGUAUAGA